UACGAAGGGGGCCAGCGUUGUUCGGAAUUACUGGGCGUAAAGCGUGCGCAGGCGGCUUCUCAAGUCAGGGGUGAAAGCCCAGAGCUCAACUCUGGAAUUGCCUUUGAGACUGAGUGGCUUGAGUACGAGAGAGGUGAGUGGAAUUCCCAGUGUAGAGGUGAAAUUCGUAGAUAUUGGGAAGAACACCGGUGGCGAAAGCGGCUCACUGGACCACAACUGACGCUGAGGCGCGAAAGCUAGGGGAGCAAACAGG
rnacentral:rRNA from 1 species